rnacentral:miRNA from 1 species
UUCUAUCUCUAUUAAUUGUGUUGC